AUCAGCGACACUACGCAAAUGUGCAGAAAACUCAGACGAAGGCACAGAUAAUCAUCUUUUUAUUAAAGCAUGGAGCUCGCAGUACAGAUAUCAAUAGCACAUCUUUGACCAAAGAACAGCAAAAGAGAAUUAGAACAGCAAAGUUUCUCCUUAAGUACAUCCAACCCAGAACUUUAACACCUGAUUCAUUCCAAAUCCAAGAGGAAAGACACAAGAAAAACAAUCACUCAACUUCAGAGAAGAUUUUACAUUAAAAACACCAACAGGGGAGGUAUUGGUCCACAAAAAAAAUAAAAUUAUUUAACUGUAAGACGGGUUAAAAAUAAACUCACAGCAAUGAGGCUAAAAUGCAUUUAAUCAGCGUUAAUGAAGCUGCUUCAGUCAUUUUUGCCGAGUU